ACUGCUGCGGUCAGUGCGGUGCUGCCUCCAUAUUUCUGCCAUAUUUAAUUAUCCAAAGGAUUGAGCAUUUGAGCUGAACCCAGGAAUCUAAAGGAUUUGCCGCUCAAAUUCAGGGAGUAGCUGUGCUUCAUAUGUCGGAUAUUGAGCCUGUUCAGAAGUUUGUUUCUCGCAUCAGUGAUGCUCAUUUAGCAAUCAGGUUUGAAUGUUUCAGGAUCCAAUUUCACUUGGUCUAAUCUUUUCAUUUGCCUGAAUUGGUUAUAUAAGUAUUAUAGCAGCUAGAUGUACACGAUCUUAAGGAAAAUAGUUGCCUUGCUAAAGUCUGCCCUUUUGGGAUGGUUGAGAGGAAGACUUGAUGAGGUUACCACAUAUAAUGAGAGCUGGAAGUAGAUGUUAAAACCUUGGGCAAUGGUUUCUGCCAAAAGUGCCAAAAUCAACUGAAGGAACCACAUGUGUGUUUUUAUGAUGCAGACCAUGUACUCAAGACAGAAGAGGUUCUGUUUUAUGUUGACAAGGUGAAGAAAAUUACAAGGCCAGGAUGUCCACCAGAAGUUCUGGAUGUGGCCUUGACUUCCAUGUCAUCCCUUGUCAAAAUCCUCUCUCAGAUGUCUUCCAAACCGUAUCCACCUUCCUUACUAUGAGCACUUGCUCUAUUGGUAUAACUAUUGUCUGUGUUGCUGUAUCCAGUUUUUCAAUAGAAGUUAGAAAAUGAUAUCAUAUAUUGCAGAUUGGGUUGCUCAUUUGUGGUUUCCUAGAAGUAGCUAUGUGCUUCUUAAGCAUAUGACAUGAAUUAUUUUCUUACACCAUACUCGUCCUAGUAGGGGUUCAAAGGUGCUCAAGAUGUGUAUUUGGUGGGCAAUGGUAUUAAUUCUGGAAAUCUGAAGUUUAUUGCAGUAAAUUUGAAGUUGGGCUGCUGUUAAAUUCAACAAUAUUAUUUUUCACUGGUGGUAGCCUGGUAGGUACUCUGCAACACUUGCAUACUUCUCAAGCAGAUGAUCAAUUAUAUAUGCUCUGGCACUCUGGCAGUGGCAUAUUAUUAUUAAAGGUACCAAUUUGAUACCUUUUGACCAGCCCCUGGAUAUUGCAAUACAUUAUUACUGAUUUUUCUAAUAAGCCUCCUAUUGGCAACAAAUUUUUCUAUUUCUUUAAAUUUUUUAUUUAGUAUCCGUUUGGAUACUCAGAAAAUGACUUAUGGAAGUCUCUUUUUGCAUUUUCCCGUGUUUGAUUAUUCAAGGAAAAUAAAGUCAAAGGAAAAUAUUUAUUCUGGUCAACAGAAAAAACGGAUGGCCAAUUUAACGGAAAAUGUCCACUUAGAUUUUUAGACGAAAGACAUUUUUCAAAUUUUUAUUUUUCCAUAUUUAUCUUCUCUCGUCUAUUACCACUACAAUCACAACUACCACCACGACCAUCACAAUCACUACCACACCACUAGUUGUUGUUGUUGUAAUUAUUAUUAUUAUUAUUAUUAUAUAACGAAUAAUAUGUUCAUUUUUAGGAAAAUGAACCAAAUAGAAAAAAUGUAAUUUCUUAACUUUUAACCAAAUAUAAAAAGAUGGUUUUCUGAUCUUUAGCCAAACACUUGAAAAUUAAAUUAUUUUUUAAAAAAUGAGUCAUUUUCUAGAAGUCAUUUUUAAAAAAAUAUUUUCCAAGUUUUCAAACAGAACCUUAAUACUUAGAAUUUAAAAAGAUAAAGUAGUAUACUGGGUGUUUUCAAUCUCCAGGUAACUGUGAAUAAGAUAACUACUCUUACAUUUCUCAUAUCAUAUUGUUUUAUCCUAUAAUCCCUCUUAUCCAGUUUUCCCAGCAUCCUUUUUCAGCACCAUACACCAAAUUGAAGAAACUAGUCUUUCCAUCUGUUAUGAGGAUAUAGUGAAUGACUGAAUGUGAGUGAAGGGAAAAGUAAAAAGCUGGGUUUUAAAGUAAACGUGGAUGGUGCGGUGGAGAUGGCCACAUCCAGAGCCAGUUGCGGUGGCGUAUUACGUGACGACACAGGCCUAUGGAAGCAAGGGUAUAGCUACAAUAUUGGUAAUUGCUCACCUUUCGAAGCAGAAGCGUGGACUCUUCUGAAAGGGAUUCAGCUGGCAGUGCAUUUGGGGUACAAGAGAACGAUCUUUGAAAGCGAUUCCAGUGAGAUUACAAGCUAUAUUAAUUCAGCAAGGUCUCCCUCAAUUGCAGCUCACAACAUUCUGGAGGCUUGUAAAA